ensembl:lncRNA
CACGAGCCUCAGCGAGCUUCUUCAUCCAGAAAUGAUUAAGGAGCAGAAGCGGAGCCCGUUUUGAAUCGUACCCAGUUGUGUCAUGAUUCCACUACAGCCAGAUCUCGACACUGCAUUAAUGACUUCAGAGUGGAUUAUCUCGCAUUGGCAUGUAACAAAUGAUUGUCCAGGCCAUCCAAAUGGGCAAAUGGUUGAUGUUGCAGAGACUUGUUAAAAAAGGGCAAGAUUUAAUUUCAUGUAAAUGGAUUACACCUGCAAAUGGUAUUUCUGAUGCAUAGGUAAAUGCGGAGAGAGCACUUCCUUAUGUUUGCCCCCCUACAGCUCUCCUUCCUUGUGGCCUCAGGGGCAGGGUGGAAAAGGCUCUGCUUUCUCAUUCUGCUUUGGAUGUGACAUUGGCUGCUACAGCCAUGUCCUUGCAAACAUACGCUGCUUCAAACAAGAAAAAUCUAUUACGUAAAAGAGGGUUGACUGGGGUCCUCAGGAGGAUGGCUUAGUUUAAGUGGUACUCUGAAAACAGAGUUCUCUUUGCAGAACUUCUGCAUGACAAAUUGCCUUCAGUUGGAUGCUCACUGUUGCAUGGUCUGCUGUACUCUAGACUGAACUUCAUUUUCGCAAAUGGCCUGUUACUGUUACAGAAAUAUUUUGUGAACUGAGUGCAGCAACACAUAGCAAGGCCCCAGUUCCACAGCAGUACACAGUUAGACAUAACUUUGUAUAUGCUAGUAGUUUAUGGUCUUUCUUAUUUGUCUAUGGGAGGUAUAGAUUCACUUGAGGGGAGAAGAGUGUCCCCUGCAUUAUCCAUCCCUUUUCACAUCUAACCUUUUGGACUUCUAAAGCAGAAAUUAUUGUAAAAUAAUUUUUAUUUUAUUUUGUUUUGUUUUUAUUUAUCUAUUUUACUGUUUCAAGUAAGUUAAAAAGCAGCUGGAUGUGCUUGAGUCUGAACGUCUGGUGUUAUCUCCAGAAGAGGAUCUUGUACUGAAGAGGUCUCUCCCCUGCUUAGCAUCCUCACAGGAUCUCUGCCUGUUUAAGGAGGGGCAUGGAGCCAGCCACCCCUUAUAAAGUGAUCUCUGUGCCCUGGGAGCCAGGAAAAGUCUGCACGGAGUUUCUAUGCCUUGGCACAACCAUAGCCUUGCAUAGGCAUUGUGGCAGUGGAAGGGUCUGUGUGCAUUGUGUGAGUGAUGUUUGGCUUUGACCAUGCAUGAGUAUUCAAGCCCAGAUAGAUCUGUACAAGAAAAGCAGAAUAAAACAGUGAGUUUCUAUUGCGAAUACACACACCUGUGAGAAAAGCAGCCCUACUGUGCUAAUGAUAACG